rnacentral:rRNA from 1 species
GACGAACGCUGGCGGCGUGCUUAACACAUGCAAGUCGAACGGUAAGGCCCUUCGGGGUACACGAGUGGCGAACGGGUGAGUAACACGUGGGUGAUCUGCCCUGCACUUCGGGAUAAGCCUGGGAAAAUGGGUCUAAUACCGGAUAGGACCACUGCCUGCAUGGGUGGGGGUGGAAAGCUUUUGCGGGGUGGGAUGGGCCCGCGGCCUAUCAGCUUGUUGGUGGGGUGAUGGCCUACCAAGGCGACGACGGGUAGCCGGCCUGAGAGGGUGACCGGCCACACUGGGACUGAGAUACGGCCCAGACUCCUACGGGAGGCAGCAGUGGGGAAUAUUGCACAAUGGGCGCAAGCCUGAUGCAGCGACGCCGCGUGAGGGAUGACGGCCUUCGGGUUGUAAACCUCUUUCAGCACCGACGAAGCGCAAGUGACGGUAGGUGCAGAAGAAGGACCGGCCAACUACGUGCCAGCCGCCGCUGUAA